AGAAAUACGGGAAAUCAUCGAUAUUAUCCUUGUAUUAUCUGACAGCCAAACCUUGACUCUUCCAUUCCAAUCAAAAUCAGGUAAAUCAUGUCGUUCGCCGGAGAUCCGCCUUCCGCCACCUCCGAUGCAUCAAAACUAUUCUUCUGCUACCAAUGCGACCGUACAGUCAACAUACCAGAGUCCGCGUCUUCCGAUCCAUCAUGUCCUUUAUGUCACGAAGGUUUCCUCGAAGAAUAUGAAUACCCCAGCUCUAAUCUGGAUUUCAAUUCCCAAAACCUAAAUUUAAAUCAAAACCCCAAUCCUAAUGAUCCAUUCUCUGAUCCUUUUUUCUCAUUCCCCGAUCCUAUCUCCACCCUUCUACCUCUCCUUUUCUCCUCCUCCACAAAUAUCGAUUUCCAAAACCCUAACCCAAAUUUUGGAAAUUCCUCUUCUGGUACUGGUCAAGAUGCAUUUAAUCCUAUGGACUUUUUGAGAAAUCAUCUUCAGAAUCUUUAUUCCGGUGGGGCCCGUAUUCAAUUUGUGAUUGAUAACCAUCCGUCGUCUGACACGGCUUUUCGGUUGCCUGGAAAUGUUGGGGAUUAUUUUAUUGGUCCCGGUCUUGAGCAAUUGAUUCAGCAACUGGCUGAGAAUGAUCCGAACAGGUAUGGGACCCCUCCGGCCUCGAAAUCAGCUAUUGAGGGUUUGCCUGCGGUUAGAAUUACUGAGGAAUUGUUGAAUUCUGAGAUGAAUCAAUGUGCUGUUUGCAAAGAUGAGUUUGAGAAAGGUGCUGAGGCUAAGCAAAUGCCAUGUAAACAUGUUUAUCAUAAUGAUUGCAUAGUGCCUUGGCUUGAAUUGCAUAAUUCGUGUCCUGUUUGUCGGUAUGAGUUGCCUACUGAUGACUCUGAUUAUGAGAGUCGAACUCGUGGAGGGGCUGAAGGGGGUCAAGGGAGCAAUGAAGUGGCAGGAACUACUGGGGAUAAUCGGACUGUGGAGAGGCGGUUUAGUAUUUCACUUCCGUGGCCAUUUGGGAGACAUGGGUCUGGUAAUGAUGGUGGGGCAGGUGGUGUUGGUGGUGGUGGACAGAGUAGCUCUUAAAGAAUUUGGAUUGAAGAUUGUGAUUGUAUGCAUUUCCUUACUUUUCAAGAAAUGUUUUUAUUUCCGAAUUCAUUUUCUAUUUUAUAAACUUUGUACUUUAUAUCCUAUAAAAUUAAUUUUCAGUUUUAGGAAUGCUACUGGAAAAAGAUUUGUGUCUCGUCAGUUUUAUGUAUUGCACUGUAUAGGGGAUCUUAAGGCAGUAACUGUUUUUCUUUUCAAUCAUUAAGUGUCACAAGUUUUAUUGUGUUUUCUUUAUUUUGGAGCUCUCAAGCAACUAAGCCAGUCUUGUUUUUUUCUGAGAAGAACAUGCUGCGUGUGCAAAAUUGAAGGUGUCUAAUUAACUAAAGAGCUUAAUUGUGCGCAUAGCAGAGGGUAUGUCAUGUGAUGUGUUCACAAUGAGUUCUGCAAGUUUUGGAAAUCUUUGAGCUAGUAUUGUCAAGUUGACUUUCCAUCCUUCAUCUGCCAGAGCAAAAACAUACACACAGUUCUAGUUUGGUGCAGGGUUCUAGCAAUUUUAGUUGUAAGUAUUGAGGGAUAAAUCAAUGAAUCUCGAUUUUGUUGGCUGAGGUCUCUCCGCUAGUUUUUCAAUUGCUCAUACCUCUACUUUACACGACUGCUUAAUUCAAUAUGUUAAUAUCUGCAUCUACUAAAUCUCAUUUAUGAGUUGUCAGUUGAAUUUUCUGGUGUUUGCUUUAAUACUGAUACUAUAUGCAAAAGUUGCAACAGAAAAGAUAAAAUGGAUAGUAAGAAAAUGAAUUGGUAAAUCAUUAGUCUUUA